rnacentral:rRNA from 1 species
AGCGAACGCUGGCGGCAGGCUUAACACAUGCAAGUCGAGCGGGCACUUUCGGGUGUCAGCGGCGGACGGGUGAGUAACGCGUGGGAACGUGCCCUCUGGUUCGGAAUAACUCAGGGAAACUUGAGCUAAUACCGGAUACGCCCUUUUGGGGAAAGGCUUGCUGCCGGAGGAUCGGCCCGCGUCUGAUUAGCUAGUUGGUGAGGUAACGGCUCACCAAGGCGACGAUCAGUAGCUGGUCUGAGAGGAUGAUCAGCCACGCUGGGACUGAGACACGGCCCAGACUCCUACGGGAGGCAGCAGUGGGGAAUAUUGGACAAUGGGCGCAAGCCUGAUCCAGCCAUGCCGCGUGAGUGAUGAAGGCCUUAGGGUUGUAAAGCUCUUUUAUCCGGGACGAUAAUGACGGUACCGGAGGAAUAAGCCCCGGCUAACUUCGUG